rnacentral:rRNA from 1 species
GACGAACGCUGGCGGCGUGCUUAACACAUGCAAGUCGAACGGAAAGGCCCUGCUUUUGUGGGGUGCUCGAGUGGCGAACGGGUGAGUAACACGUGAGUAACCUGCCCUUGACUUUGGGAUAACUUCAGGAAACUGGGGCUAAUACCGGAUAGGAGCUCCUGCUGCAUGGUGGGGGUUGGAAAGUUUCGGCGGUUGGGGAUGGACUCGCGGCUUAUCAGCUUGUUGGUGGGGUAGUGGCUUACCAAGGCUUUGACGGGUAGCCGGCCUGAGAGGGUGACCGGCCACAUUGGGACUGAGAUACGGCCCAGACUCCUACGGGAGGCAGCAGUGGGGAAUAUUGCACAAUGGGCGGAAGCCUGAUGCAGAAACGCCGCGUGCGGGAUGACGGCCUUCGGGUUGUAAACCGCUUUCGCCUGCGACGAAGCGUGAGUGACGGUAAUGGGUAAAGAAGCACCGGCUAACUACGUG